rnacentral:miRNA from 17 species
CCUGUCCUUGACUACUUGGCUC